rnacentral:rRNA from 1 species
UACGUAGGGCGCAAGCGUUGUCCGGAAUUAUUGGGCGUAAAGAGCUCGUAGGCGGCUUGUCACGUCGGGUGUGAAAGCCCGGGGCUUAACCCCGGGUCUGCAUUCGAUACGGGCUAGCUAGAGUGUGGUAGGGGAGAUCGGAAUUCCUGGUGUAGCGGUGAAAUGCGCAGAUAUCGGGAGGAACACCGGUGGCGAAGGCGGUUCUCUGGGCCUUACCUGACGCUGAGGAGCGAAAGCGUGGGGAGCGAACAGG